AAGUCGUAACAAGGUUUCCGUAGGUGAACCUGCGGAAGGAUCAUUAUCGAAAAUAAAGGGUUGUCUGCUGGCCUCUCGGGGCGCGUGCACGCCCAAAUCCACAACACACCUGUGAACCCACCGUAGGCCCUCGGGCUUAUGUAUUAUCAUAUACUCUGAUCAUAGAAUGUAAAUAUUUUGCCUUAAAAACGCAAUGAAAUACAACUUUCAACAACGGAUCUCUUGGCUCUCGCAUCGAUGAAGAACGCAGCGAAAUGCGAUAAGUAAUGUGAAUUGCAGAUUUUCAGUGAAUCAUCGAAUCUUUGAACGCACCUUGCGCUCCUUGGUAUUCCGAGGAGCAUGCCUGUUUGAGUGUCAUUAAAUUCUCAACCCCAGCGGUUCGUUGGGGCUUGGACUUGGAGCGUGCUGGCGAAGGUCGGCUCCUCUUUAAAUGCAUCAGCGGAAAACGGAACUUUCCCUUCGGCGUGAUAAUAUCGUUGCGUCGUGGUGGGUCGGUUAAAGGGUCCCGCUCACAAUCGUCCUCGGACAAAAAUAAAAAACAUCUGUUUUGACCUCAGAUCAGGUAGGACUACCCGCUGAACUUAAGCAUAUCAAUAAGCGGAGGAAAAGAAACUAACAAGGAUUCCCCUAGUAACUGCGAGUGAAGCGGGAAGAGCUCAAAUUUAAAAUCUGGCGGUCGUCUGGCCGUCCGAGUUGUAAUCUGGAGAAGCGUUUUCCGCGUCGGACCGUGUACAAGUCUUCUGGAACGGAGCGUCAUAGAGGGUGAGAAUCCCGUCUCUGACACGGACUGCCGAUGCUUCAUGUGAUACGCUCUCGAAGAGUCGAGUUGUUUGGGAAUGCAGCUCAAAAUGGGUGGUAAAUUCCAUCUAAAGCUAAAUACUGGCGAGAGACCGAUAGCGAACAAGUACCGUGAGGGAAGGAUGAAAAGCACUUUGGAAAGAGAGUUAAACAGUACGUGAAAUUGUUGAAAGGGAAACGUUUGAAGUCAGUCGCGUCGGCCGGGACUCAACCUUGCUAUCUUGCUCGGUGCACUUCUCGGUUGACGGGUCAGCAUCAAUUUUGACCGUCGGAUAAAGGUCGAGGGAACGUGGCAUCCUCCGGGGUGUGUUAUAGCCCUUGGUUCGCAUACGACGAUUGGGAUUGAGGAACUCAGCACGCCUUCAUUGGUCGGGGCUUAAUCGCUCACGUUAACGUGCUUAGGAUGCUGGCAUAAUGGCUUUAAGCGACC
rnacentral:rRNA from 1 species